ensembl:misc_RNA Y_RNA Y RNA
UGCAAAAACAGAUGAGUAACUAAUUGAUCGCAACCAGUUACAGAUUUCUUUGUUCCUUCUCCACUCCUACUGCUUUAUUUGACUACCAUUUA